GACGAACGCUGGCGGCGUGCUUAACACAUGCAAGUCGAACGGAAAGGCCCUGCUUUUGUGGGGUGCUCGAGUGGCGAACGGGUGAGUAACACGUGAGUAACCUGCCCUUGACUUUGGGAUAACUUCAGGAAACUGGGGCUAAUACCGGAUAGGAGCUCCUGCUGCAUGGUGGGGGUUGGAAAGUUUCGGCGGUUGGGGAUGGACUCGCGGCUUAUCAGCUUGUUGGUGGGGUAGUGGCUUACCAAGGCUUUGACGGGUAGCCGGCCUGAGAGGGUGACCGGCCACAUUGGGACUGAGAUACGGCCCAGACUCCUACGGGAGGCAGCAGUGGGGAAUAUUGCACAAUGGGCGGAAGCCUGAUGCAGCAACGCCGCGUGCGGGAUGACGGCCUUCGGGUUGUAAACCGCUUUCGCCUGUGACGAAGCGUGAGUGACGGUAAUGGGUAAAGAAGCACCGGCUAACUACGUGCCAGCAGCCGCGGUGAUACGUAGGGUGCGAGCGUUGUCCGGAUUUAUUGGGCGUAAAGGGCUCGUGGGUGGUUGAUCGCGUCGGAAGUGUAAUCUUGGGGCUUAACCCUGAGCGUGCUUUCGAUACGGGUUGACUUGAGGAAGGUAGGGGAGAAUGGAAUUCCUGGUGGAGCGGUGGAAUGCGCAGAUAUCAGGAGGAACACCAGUGGCGAAGGCGGUUCUCUGGGCCUUUCCUGACGCUGAGGAGCGAAAGCGUGGGGAGCGAACAGGCUUAGAUACCCUGGUAGUCCACGCUGUAAACGGUGGGUACUAGGUGUGGGGUCCAUUCCACGGGUUCCGUGCCGUAGCUAACGCUUUAAGUACCCCGCCUGGGGAGUACGGCCGCAAGGCUAAAACUCAAAGGAAUUGACGGGGCCCCGCACAAGCGGCGGAGCAUGCGGAUUAAUUCGAUGCAACGCGUAGAACCUUACCUGGGUUUGACAUGGAUCGGGAGUGCUCAGAGAUGGGUGUGCCUCUUUUGGGGUCGGUUCACAGGUGGUGCAUGCCUGUCGUCAGCUCGUGUCGUGAGAUGUUGGGUUAAGUCCCGCAACGAGCGCAACCCUUGUUCACUGUUGCCAGCACGUUAUGGUGGGGACUCAGUGGAGACCGCCGGGGUCAACUCGGAGGAAGGUGGGGAUGACGUCAAGUCAUCAUGCCCCUUAUGUCCAGGGCUUCACGCAUGCUACAAUGGCUGGUACAGAGAGUGGCGAGCCUGUGAGGGUGAGCGAAUCUCGGAAAGCCGGUCUCAGUUCGGAUUGGGGUCUGCAACUCGACCUCAUGAAGUCGGAGUCGCUAGUAAUCGCAGAUCAGCAACGCUGCGGUGAAUACGUUCCCGGG
rnacentral:rRNA from 1 species